rnacentral:rRNA from 1 species
UACGUAGGGUGCGAGCGUUGUCCGGAAUUAUUGGGCGUAAAGAGCUCGUAGGCGGUGUGUCGCGUCGGGAGUGAAAACCCAGGGCUUAACCCUGAGCCUGCUUCCGAUACGGGCAGACUAGAGGUAUGCAGGGGAGAACGGAAUUCCUGGUGUAGCGGUGAAAUGCGCAGAUAUCAGGAGGAACACCGGUGGCGAAGGCGGUUCUCUGGGCCUUACCUGACGCUGAGGAGCGAAAGCGUGGGGAGCGAACAGG